rnacentral:lncRNA from 1 species
AAAAUUUUUAAAGUAACGUUUUUAGAAAUUUUUAGUUAUCAAAAUCAACCACUGAUAAGAGAAGUAUUAUUGUAUUUUAUGGUUAAACAGUGCUAACAGAUGUAAUGUUAUGUAGUCUAUAUGAUGCAAUACUCAUUUAUAAAAUUAAUGACAUGCAGAUUGGAUACUUAUUCAAAAAUUUUUAUUUGUCAUAAAUAAAUUCAAUCAUUAGUAUUAUUACAAAACCUGACAUCCUUUACCAUGAUGAUGAUGAUAAAUAUUAAUUACAAAUUUUUUAUGACAAGUGAAAAUUACCACCUCUGUUCGGACUCCGAGAACGAAGAUAAGAAAAGCUGAGUUAAUCGUUGUGUUUCAUUUUUUGUAAAACAGUGUUAAUAACAAAGAAAAUAAUUGUAUUUGUGUGUGACAUAGAAUCUAAUCAUCUAGAAACAGAAGAUAUAGUUGAAAAGCCCACAUCUGAUUAUAUGGCAUCAGACAGUGACAAUGGUGAUAAUUCAGAUGGCCCAGGGCCUAGUACAUCAAGGGCUAAUGCAAGUUAUCCUGUCGACCCAUCAGAUUGGAUUGAUAUGAAAGAUUUAGCACCAGAUAUUUUUAAUAACAGACCAAGGCUACUCCCUUUUAAACUAGAACCUGGACCAAUGGUUGAUACUGAUGGCUGGGAGCCUGUGG